rnacentral:snRNA from 1 species
GGAUGUGAAGGCUAUCUGACUGUGACAUCCAUUAUCCCAUUGAUCAUCACAUUGAUUCAGCUGAUCAGGCUGAGUAGGUGGGUGUCCCCUUCCUCCUACAUGCCUGCAUGCGUAUCCCUUGGAAGCAGCUCGCUCCAUCCAAGACUGCCUUUCCCUAAUACACGUGUUCAUUCUUUGGUAAAGGGAAGGAGAGUACCUCCGCUCUCCUGCUAGAACCUCCAAAGCAUUUCAAAUAACCCUGGAUUUCUCAACAGUAUCUAUUGAUACAAUAGUCAAUGAAAUAAAAUUUAUAAAAUUAUAAAGUGAAACAAUGAGCUGCAAGUGUUCUAUAUU